rnacentral:rRNA from 1 species
GGGGUUUUCGGGUGGGCUAGAAUGCUAGUCGAGUGACUCAGGCAAAACGAGUCACGGCACACAGCUCAGUAACACGUGGCUAAUCUGCCCUUAGGACAAGAACAACCCCGGGAAACUGGGGCUAACUCUUGAUGGGUGAAGAACUCUGGAAUGAGUCUUUGCUUAAAUAGAUUCACGUUAUCCUCGUGAAUUUGCCUAAGGAUGAGGCCGCGACCGAUCAGGUUGUUGGCGAGGUAAUGGCUCACCAAGCCUUUUACCGGUGCGGGCCGUGGGAGCGGGAGCCCGGAGAUGGGUACUGAGACAAGGACCCAGGCCCUACGGGGCGCAGCAGUCGCGAAACCUUUGCAAUACACGAAAGUGUGACAGGGCUAUCCCGAGUGCCAUCCGCUGAGGAAGGCUUUUACCCAGUCUAGAACGCUGGGGGAAUAAGGAGAGGGCAAGUCUGGUGUCAGCCGCCGCGGUAAUACCAGCUCUCCGAGUGGUGUGGAUGUUUAUUGGGCCUAAAGCAUCCGUAGCUGGCUAGGUAAGUCCUUUGUUAAAUCCACCGAAUUAAUCGUUGGAUCGCGGGGGAUACUGCUUGGCUAGGGGACGAGAGAGGCAGACGGUAUUUUCGGGGUAGGGGUGAAAUCCUAUAAUCCCGGGAAGACCACCAGUGGCGAAGGCUGUCUGCUAGAACGCGCCCGACGGUGAGGGAUGAAAGCUGGGGGAGCGAACCGGAUUAGAUACCCGGGUAGUCCCAGCUGUAAACGAUGCAGACUAGGUGUUUGGACGGCCACGUGCCGUUCUAGUGCCGCAGGGAAGCUGUUAAGUCUGCCGCCUGGGGAGUACGAUCGCAAGAUUGAAACUUAAAGGAAUUGGCGGGGGAGCACCACAAGGGGUGAAGCUUGCGGUUUAAUUGGAGUCAACGCCGGG